rnacentral:rRNA from 1 species
CUCCUGGAAACGGGUGGUAAUGCCGGAUGUUCCACAUGAGCGCAUGCGAGUGUGGGAAAGGCUUUUUGCGGCAUGGGAUGGGGUCGCGUCCUAUCAGCUUGUUGGUGGGGUAACGGCCUACCAAGGCGUUGACGGGUAGCCGGCCUGAGAGGGCGACCGGCCACAUUGGGACUGAGAUACGGCCCAGACUCCUACGGGAGGCAGCAGUGGGGAAUAUUGCACAAUGGGCGCAAGCCUGAUGCAGCGACGCCGCGUGCGGGAUGGAGGCCUUCGGGUUGUAAACCGCUUUUGUUCAAGGGCAAGGCACGGUUUCGGCCGUGUUGAGUGGAUUGUUCGAAUAAGCACCGGCUAACUACGUGCCAGCAGCCGCGGUAAUACGUAGGGUGCAAGCGUUAUCCGGAUUUAUUGGGCGUAAAGGGCUCGUAGGCGGUUCGUCGCGUCCGGUGUGAAAGUCCAUCGCUUAGCGGUGGAUCCGCGCCGGGUUCGGGCGGGCCAGAGUGCGGUAGGGGACACUGGCAUUCCCGCAGUAGGAACAUCCGGCAUAGCCAUCGGUAUGCACGAC